rnacentral:rRNA from 1 species
GUGCCAGCCGCCGCGGUAAUACGUAGGGUGCAAGCGUUAAUCGGAAUUACUGGGCGUAAAGCGAGCGCAGGCGGUUAUGUAAGACAGAUGUGAAAUCCCAGGGCUUAACCUUGGAACUGCAUUUGUGACUGCAUGGCUAGAGUGCGUCAGAGGGGGGUGGAACUCCACGUGUAGCAGUGAAAUGCGUAGAGAUGUGGAAGAACACCGAUGGCGAAGGCAGCCCCCUGGGAUGACACUGACGCUCAUGCUCGAAAGCGUGGGGAGCAAACAGGAUUAGAUACCCUGGUAGUCCACGCCCUAAACGAUGUCUACUAGUUGUCGGUCCUUAAUUGGAUUGGUAACGCAGCUAACGCGUGAAGUAGACCGCCUGGGGAGUACGGUCGCAAGAUUAAA